GUCUGCUCGAAUAGUGUGUGUAGUCGUGCCUGCCCACUGAUUUAUUUAAAGGGCCGCGGUAGCCUGACCGUGCAAAGGUAGCAUAAUAAGUAGUCUUUUAAUUGUAGGCUUGUAUGAACGGCUUGACGAGGGAGACGCUGUCUUUGUCACAAAGGUUGAAUUUAACUUUUAAGUGAAAAGGCUUAAAUGUUUCAGGGGGACGAUAAGACCCUAUAAAACUUUAUAGGGAUGGGUUAGGUUUUUGAGUUGGGAAUUUAAAUAAAGCUAAAUUUUACUUAUUUCGUUGGGGCGAUGAAGAUAGGGUUUAAAAGCUGUCUGUUGAAAAUUUAAUAGUAAUUUUUAGAUUUGGUGAUCCUUUAUUAAGGAUAGAAAGAUUCAGUUACUUUAGGGAUAACAGCAUAAUUUUCUUUGAGAGUACGUAUCGACGAGAGUAGUUGUGACCUCGAUGUUGAAUUAAAGUGUCAUUAAGGUGCAGGAGCUUUAAUAGUAGGUCUGUUCGACCUUUAUAACUUUACAUGAUUUGAGUUCAGACCGACGUGAG
rnacentral:rRNA from 1 species